rnacentral:lncRNA from 1 species
AUAAGCCCUCGCCAAUAUAGAGUGUAUUUGUGAUGGUGGACCGACAUCCGUCAACGGUGAUUUGUGCUGACAUGAAGCAUCUCGUGCUUCCUCGAGCGCAACAGCCACGCGAGGCAGGUCGGAGCUCGUCCGUGGCAAGCGGCAGCGCGUGCGCACGUUAGGCCCAACUGCUGUCGCCUAGCAGACUGCGCUGGCCAGCGUAGCACCUGGCGCCUGGCCUGCAGCAGCGAGGGGUCUUAUAUGGCUUCCACAAGUUGUACGAGGGAUAUAACUAUAAAGCCCAAUAGAGCCCAACAGCAGCCCAUAGAACGCAGCAGUGCGUAUGCGAAAGCAUGCCGCCAAUCGUCAGCAUGUGGGUCGUUCGCUCACGUUAGUCAUGCAUGGUGAUUUGAUUCUUUUUUUUUUAAGAUUUCGUUUUUCUCCUAUGAUACUAGUAACAAUAGAUUCAACAUUUCUAUCAAACUGAGUCAACAUUUCAAAGAACUGGUUUAACAAUUUGGAAAAGUAAUUCAACAUUUUAAAAAAAUGUUGAACUGGUACAUUAAAAAUGUUGAAUUGACAUGUUAAGAAUGUUGAACUAGCAUAUUGAAAUAUUGAAGUGUUGAAAUAAAAAGUUUUAAAUAACAUAUUGGAACUCAUUUUAUUGCAUUAAUUCCAAACAACAUAGUGGUUUAAAUAGGUUAAUAUUUUAAGAGAAAAUCGUAUUUGAAGUUCGAAACUCAAAGAGAUUCUCUUCCUCUUCCUCCAACCUAGUGCCGACAUCUGUCCAUCCUACCCUCCACCCACGGGCUCCC